rnacentral:rRNA from 1 species
UACGUAGGGUGCGAGCGUUUAAUCGGAAUUACUGGGCGUAAAGCGUGCGCAGGCGGUUCGUUGUGUCUGAUGUGAAAGCCCCGGGCUCAACCUGGGAAUGGCAUUGGAAACUGGCGAGCUGGAGUGUGGGCAGGAGGGGGGUGGAAUUCCGCGUGUAGCAGUGAAAUGCGUAGAGAUGCGGAGGAACACCGAUGGCGAAGGCAGCCCCCUGGGCCAACACUGACGCUCAGGCACGAAAGCGUGGGGAGCAAACAGGG